UAGAGUUUGAUCCUGGCUCAGAACGAACGCCGGCGGCAGGCCUAACACAUGCAAGUCGAACGCCGUAGCAAUACGGAGUGGCAGACGGGUGAGCAACACGUGGGAACAUGCCCUUUGGUUCGGAAUAACUCAGGGAAACUUGAGCUAAUACCGGAUAAGCCCGAGAGGGGAAAGAUUUAUCGCCGAAGGAUUGGCCCGCGUCCGAUUAGCUAGUUGGUGAGGUAAUGGCUCACCAAGGCGACGAUCGGUAGCUGGUCUGAGAGGAUGAUCAGCCACACUGGGACUGAGACACGGCCCAGACUCCUACGGGAGGCAGCAGUGGGGAAUAUUGGACAAUGGGCGCAAGCCUGAUCCAGCCAUGCCGCGUGAGUGAUGAAGGCCCUAGGGUUGUAAAGCUCUUUCGCCAGGGACGAUAAUGACGGUACCUGGAUAAGAAGCCCCGGCUAACUUCGUGCCAGCAGCCGCGGUAAUACGAAGGGGGCUAGCGUUGUUCGGAAUCACUGGGCGUAAAGCGCACGUAGGCGGAUCUUUAAGUCAGGGGUGAAAUCCCGAGGCUCAACCUCGGAACUGCCUUUGAUACUGGAGAUCUUGAGUCCGGGAGAGGUGAGUGGAACUGCGAGUGUAGAGGUGAAAUUCGUAGAUAUUCGCAAGAACACCAGUGGCGAAGGCGGCUCACUGGCCCGGAACUGACGCUGAGGUGCGAAAGCGUGGGGAGCAAACAGGAUUAGAUACCCUGAUAGUCCACGCCGUAAACGAUGAAUGCCAGCCGUUGGGCAGCUUGCUGUUCAGUGGCGCAGUUAAUGCUUUAAGCAUUCCCGCCUGGGGAGUACGGUCGCAAGAUUAAAACUCAAAGGAAUUUGACGGGGGCCCGCCACAAGCGGUGAGCAUGUGGUUUAUUUCGAAGCAACGCGCAGAACCCUUACCAGCCUUUGAACAUGCCUUGAACGGAUAGCAGAAGAUGCUUUCUUCUCUUCGGAGCCAGGGAACACCAGUGCUGCAUGUCUGUCGGUCAGCUCGUGUCAUGAAAAU
rnacentral:rRNA from 1 species